rnacentral:tRNA from 1 species
GGGGCCAUCGUCUAGCCAGGUUUAGGACACCACCCUUUCAAGGUGGCGACACGGGUUCGAAUCCCGUUGGCCCUACCA